AGUGGGAUAACUGGGUUAAAUGGUAGUUCUAUUCCAAUUUUUCUAAGCAAUCUCCAUACUGCUUUCCAGAGUGGUUGCACCAAUUUCGUUCCCACCAAGCAAU
rnacentral:pre_miRNA from 1 species